UAGAGUGCAUAGAUUCGAGUGACAAUGGAGAUAACCCAGUCACUAGAACGACUUCUAAUUCUGCCAAGACCACUAUUAACAAACAUGCUAUAGAAAGCAGUCAUGUUCACAAUUUUGAUUUGGACAAAGAAGAGGGCUAAGAUGAUCAACAUUUCAGUGUAACUGAAAGUGUUGUAGAGCUUUGUGAUGUUGAGAGUAAUAUAGCUAGAGGACGGAACAGUGCUCACCCACUCCCGCACAGGCCUGUUCACCAUGUUAUGCUUAAGAAGGAAGCUGAAAGGUCGCUUGCCUUGGAUGUGAAAUAGACUAAGAAGAAAAAGCUUGCCCCUAUAAAACAAGCAACGCUAUUUGGAGCAACAAUGCAAGUAAAAGUGUAGCAAUGAACAUUGCAAGCACAACAUUUAACAGGGAUAGUAGACUCACAACCUGAACCAGGAUUUCAUAAGAAAUCUACAAUCAUCCGUCUUGACAAAUCUAAUAGAUGCAAUGGACCACUUUCAAUAUGUUUCGCAAAGUCUAUUUCUCCUGAUUUGCUUGAGAAUGGAUAACGUUUAAAAUAUAUCCAGUCACAGAAAGGUCUCUGAAGCUGGAAAAUAAGGCUGGAAUCGGGUAAGUCCAUUCAAUUCGAGAAUAAAGCAUGCAUCCAUGACCAUCAUUCACACAAGCAUAUCUUCAUCCCAUUCAACAACUGAAUCUUCAUAGCAAACUCUGAUUUUCGUAUCUAGCUCUUUGAUUUUGCGACUAAAUUGUCUAUGGUCAUGUGAGGGAUCCUUUCCAAGGUUUUGUUUACUACUUGGAGCUUAUAUUUGUCCAUUGUAGUCAGCUGCUAGUGUUUCUUGUGAUUAUAAGGUCCAAGAAAUACAACCAGAGGAUCAUAUGCUCUUCGUUUUGUUUUCUUUAUGGGUUCAGGCACCCAAUAUAUGGACACAAAAGAAGACAUUUUUAGUUCUCUGUACUGUGAGUUUCGAUCAUUUUAUGCAUCUUUAACUUGAUCAAUCCAUGUUUCAGGUUCAAUGUUGCACCUUAACAAGGGUUUCCCCUCUUCAUCUCCAACUGUACAGUUUAUUUUAUCUUUACUAGCACUCUCUGUAUCAUUAUUGGAGGCCAUAUGAUAGUUCCUUUUAUCUUUACUAGCA